UGCUGCAAGUAUAGCCCCAUAAAUUUCAGGAUGUAAACUUUCUUCCUCUAGUGUUCGUAAAAUUAUUUCGCCUUAUGAUUCAUGAUCCGCUAUCUGUAUUCAACUGACACUGGUUGAAGUUUUAUGUACUGUUUUUUUUUUAUUAUGACAUAGAGAGAAGAAAACCAGAAGUUCUAACAUUUGAAGUAUUUGAUUGUCUACAUUUUUCUUCUGGAAAAAAUGAUUCUCUGACAUAAAAUAUUGAACAUUUUCACUUCUCCUGAAUUUUUUGUCUCUGAUAUAAUAUGGAGCCACCUUAGAUACAAUUUAGUAGGUAAUAUAUUUGACGGUCGCAAAGGAUUCAAAUAGCUAGUGCAAGAAUGAACUGAUGCUAAAGCUUAAGCUUUGGUUAGUUUAGGAAUAUUCCAUGUACAUGACAACCAGAAUUUCUAUACGUAAUCCAUUUGAAGAGUAAUAGAUUCUACCCUGCGUUCCUUUACCUCUUACAACUUCUACGACAAUUUAGGUGAGUCAUAGUUUAUUACCUUUCAUAAACUUCCUUUGUUGGUUUAAAAUUGCAUUACCUGCGGCUGCCAGAGACCUGCGAUUACAUAUAAUGCUGUGAAAAUUAUGUAUGUUACCAUGCAUUCACUCACAUUUUCUUUUGUCAGCAAUGUCAUUAUACUUUAAACGGGUAUGCUAUGCAAUUUGAUUAAGUAUAGUUGACAUGUUUCUAGUAUAGAGAUAUCUUGUAUAGUGAAGUCAUAACUUUUCGUUCUUUUAUUUUUUUGUUUGAUGUAUAUUUUAUAUUCUAGAAGAGCUGCAUAGUUUAUCUAAAUAACUGGUUGACUUUUACCUACUUUUAAUGCAUUUUCAGGUUCCUUCGAUUACCUCAGUGAAGAUAUACCCAUAGAUGAUAUAGAUGAUACAGAGGAUUUCAAAGAGGUUGACCUGGAAUAUGCUCAAGAAAGAUUAAUCUUAAGCUCAUAUCUUGGUACUUAUUUUUUGUUGGUUCCUUAUAACAGUCGUGAUUUAUUUCUGCCUGUCAAUAAAUUUAUGUAAAAGGUUGUUCCCAAAGAACCGCCGCUAUAAAGGGUAAAUGAAAGCUGCAGUUUUAGCAAUUUUAAUGGGAAGCUUCACUUCAUAGAAUUGUUUGACAUUUGAAACGUUGCCCCUUUCUCAUUAUUUUGGCCAUUUUUAGACCUUAGCAUACUUUUGCUCUCACCUUGUUGUGCCGAACCUUUCAGACAAUGGGUGGGUGAUCAUUAAGCCUUUGCAAGAGUUGAUAACUAAUUUCAUCACCUUUGUCUGGAUCACCCAACCCUUACUGGUAUUUGAAGUAGUGCUGAUUUAAUACCAAUAGUAGAAUGUUACGAUUUUCUUAUAUAGGCACAGCUGAAUUGCAUGCUCUCUUAUAGUUUUCCUAGGUAGUGCACAAUAUCUUAGAGUAAGAUGGAAGUUGUAGGCAACAUCAUCACAUGAGAGGACAUUCUUAUUAAUGUUCCUCGUGAUUUUGCCAAUAUGAGCCAAUGACUGUAUUAUGGUGAACCACAAAAACCAUCUCAAUUCUGUUCGUGGAUAAAAGGUAUGAUAGAAAGAACUUAUUUUACCAUGGAUCCAGUUGCAGGGAUUGAUUGGCUUUAAGGAUCGUUGAUUGUGCCCAGCAAAAUGGACUAAAAUCUAUUUUCAUUGGCAGUGCUUCUAGGUCAUCCAAUGAACUCCUACAUAAAUAUGAGUAUUUUCAGUUUUAUUCAUGUUUUUAGUCAUCCAUUUAGUUUUACACAACUGAAGCAUAAUUAAGUUGGAAUUCACCACUUAUUGUAUCAGUUGUUUUCCUGU
rnacentral:lncRNA from 1 species